GAGUGGCAAACGGGUGAGUAACACGUGGGUGACCUGCCUUCGAGUGGGGGAUAACGUCCCGAAAGGGACGCUAAUACCGCAUGACAUCCUGCUCUUGGACGAGCGGAAAUCAAAGCUGGGGAUCGCAAGACCUGGCGUUUGAAGAGGGGCCCGCGCCUGAUUAGUUAGUUGGUGAGGUACCGGCUCACCAAGGCGACGAUCAGUAUCCGGCCUGAGAGGGGGGGACGGACACACUGGGACUGAAGAACACGGCCCAGACUCCUACGGGAGGCA
rnacentral:rRNA from 1 species